rnacentral:rRNA from 1 species
GACCUCGGAUCAGACGUGAGUACCCGCUGAACUUAAGCAUAUCACUAAGCGGAGGAAAAGAAACUAACAAGGAUUCCCUGAGUAACGGCGAGUGAACAGGGAAAAGCCCAGCACCGAAGCCUGUGGUCAUUUGGUCACUAGGCAAUGUGGUGUUCAGGUCGUUCCAUAGAGGUGCUGCUCCACCCUAAGUCCAGCAAUGAGUACGGUGGUACGGACAUGGCCCACAGAGGGUGAAAGGCCCGUGGGGGUGGAGAUCAGGCAGGCCAGUGCCUCUCUGGGUAGACCUUGGAGUCGGGUUGUUUGUGAAUGCAGCCCAAAGUGGGUGGUAAACUCCAUCCAAGGCUAAAUACUUGCACGAGUCCGAUAGCGAACAAGUACCGUGAGGGAAAGUUGAAAAGUACUUUGAAGAGAGAGUAAACAGUGCGUGAAACCGCUCAGAGGUAAACGGGUGGAGUUGAACUGCAAGCUUUGAGGAUUCAGCUGGUGAGUGUGGUUUGAGCUUGGUCAAGUUGGUUGGACAUUGAGGUCUGCGUAGCAGCAGGUCUCUGCCCUCGGGUAGGGAUGCGCGAUACACUUAUCAAGUGUUGUGCGCCUCUUUGUUUAUCGGGCCAAUUCGCCAGUGCACUUUCUCAGAGUGUUCACCACGACCGGCACUGCUGUCUGACUACUGUGGUUAAACCGGACUUAUAGAGCACUUGUGGCUUUGUAUGGCCGGGAAGGCAGGUAGCUCGUUGGCUAGCUUGUGGUUUACUGCAGGCGUUUGGUUUUCGAGUGUAAUUAGCUGACCACGAUUGUUCUGUGCAGUGUGUCGGAGACGGCGGCUUGUGGUGCGUGCGUGCGUGCCGGUCCUGCUGGCGUGUUCGGGUUUGGUUGCCAUGUUGCUUGUGAAUGCAGGCCUGGUGAUGGCUCGGAUUCGUUCAGUGGGCGGUUGCGCAUGUGGUGCCGUUAAGGGCCAACAGUCUGUGGUGUAGUGGUAGACUAUCCACCUGACCCGUCUUGAAACACGGACCAAGGAGAGUAACAUGUGCGCGAGUCAUUGGGCGUAACGAAACCCACAGGCGCAGUGAAAGUAAAGGCCCGGCUUGUCCAGGCUGAGGUGAGAUCCUGUCGUUUUCACGCAUGGUACCACCAAGCAACGAGCGGCAGGCGCAUCACCGGCCCGUCCCAUGACGUAGACACAUAAUCUUCGGACCAGUGCACCGUCGGGGCGGAGCAUGAGCGUACAUGUUGAGACCCGAAAGAUGGUGAACUAUGCUUGCGCAGGUUGAAGCCAGAGGAAACUCUGGUGGAGGACCGCAGCGAUUCUGACGYGCAAAUCGAUCGUCAAACGUGAGUAUAGGGGCGAAAGACUAAUCGAACCAUCUAGUAGCUGGUUCCCUCCGAAGUUUCCCUCAGGAUAGCUGGCGUUCGGAGAAAUAAACAGUUUUAUCCGGUAAAGCGAAUGAUUAGAGGCCUUGGGGGCGAAACGUCCUCAACCUAUUCUCAAACUUUAAAUGGGUGAGAAGCUGAACUCGCUUGAGCGGAGUUGGGCGUUGAAUGUGAGUGCCAAGUGGGCCAUUUUUGGUAAGCAGAACUGGCGCUGUGGGAUGAACCAAACGUCCGGUUAAGGUGCCUAACGCGACGCUCAUCAGAUACCACAAAAGGUGUUGGUUGGUCUAGACAGCAGGACGGUGGCCGUGGAAGUCGGAAUCCGCUAAGGAGUGUGUAACAACUCACCUGCCGAAUCAACCAGCCCUGAAAAUGGAUGGCGCUGGAGCGUCGGACCUAUACCGGACCGUUACUGCAAGCUGAGUCGGUUAUGUGUGGUGUGAGGGCAAGCCGCACGACUCAGGCACGGAGUGGUGGUAACGAGUAGGAGGGUCGCCGUGGUGAGCGGGAAGCUUCGGGCGUGAGCUUGAGUGGAGCCGCCACGGGUGCAGAUCUUGGUGGUAGUAGCAAAUAUUCAAGUGAGAACCUUGAAGGCCGAGGUGGAGAAGGGUUCCAUGGGAACAGCAGUUGGCCAUGGGUCAGGCGGUCCUAAGUGAUCCGAUAACUCGGUACAGAGACGGGGUGCCUGACAUUGUCAGGAUUGCUGCUCGUAUUGUUGCAAGGCAGCCCCCUGUAGCGAAAGGGAAUCGGGUUAAUAUUCCCGACCCUGCCCACGGAGAUUGGUACAUUCCGGCCUUGUGCUGGUUUGCAUCUAGCGCGGUAACGCAACCGACCUCGGAGACGUCGGCAAGAGUUCUGGGAAGAGUUCUCUUUUCUUUAUUAGGAGUGCAUCCAUCCCCUGGAAUCGGGUUGUCCGGAGAUAGGGGACUAGCCUCCGUAAAGCACCACCCCUCUUGUGGUGUCCGGAACGCUCUUGUCGGCCCUUGAAAAUCCGAGCAAGGCAAUAUAAUUUUCGUGGCAGGCCG